rnacentral:rRNA from 1 species
UCGAGAAUUUUUCACAAUGGGCGCAAGCCUGAUGGAGCGACGCCGCGUGGGGGAUGAAGGGCUUCGGUCCGUAAACCCCUGUCAUUUGCGAACAAAUCUCAUCCGAUAACACCGGAUGGGUUGAUUGUAGCGAAAGAGGAAGGGACGGCUAACUCUGUGCCAGCAGCCGCGGUAAUACAGAGGUCCCGAGCGUUGUUCGGAUUCACUGGGCGUAAAGGGUGCGUAGGUGGUUCUGCCAGUCUGAUGUGAAAUCUCCGGGCUUAACCCGGAAAUGGCAUUGGAAACUGCAGGGCUAGAGUGUUGGAGGGGGGACUGGAAUUCUCGGUGUAGCAGUGAAAUGCGUAGAUAUCGAGAGGAACACCAGUGGCGAAGGCGAGUCCCUGGACAACCACUGACACUGAGGCACGAAAGCUAGGGGAGCAAACAG